UUUGAUCCUGGCUCAGAAUCAACGCUGGCGGCGCGCUUAACACAUGCAAGUCGCACGAGAAAGUGGAGCAAUCCAUGAGUAAAGUGGCGUACGGGUGAGUAACACGUGGAUUAUCUACCUCUUGGUGGGGAAUAACCUUGGGAAACCGGGGCUAAUACCGCAUAAGCCUGGAAAGGGAAAGCAGCAAUGCGCCGAGAGAGGAGUCCGCGGCCGAUUAGCUAGUUGGUAGGGUAAUGGCCUACCAAGGCAAUGAUCGGUAGCCGGCCUGAGAGGGCACACGGCCACACUGGCACUGAAACACGGGCCAGACUCCUACGGGAGGCAGCAGUGGGGAAUCUUGCACAAUGGGGGAAACCCUGAUGCAGCGACGCCGCGUGAGCGAUGAAGCCCUUCGGGGUGUAAAGCUCUUUCGGCAGGAACGAUAAUGACGGUACCUGAAGAAGAAGCUGCGGCUAACUACGUGCCAGCA
rnacentral:rRNA from 1 species